rnacentral:rRNA from 1 species
CAAAUGACUCUCGGCAACGGAUAUCUCGGCUCACGCAUCGAUGAAGAACGUAGCAAAAUGCGAUACUUGGUGUGAAUUGCAGAAUCCCGUGAACCAUCGAGUUUUUGAACGCAAGUUGCGCCCGAAGCCUUUUGGCCAAGGGCACGUCUGCCUGGGCGUCACAC